rnacentral:lncRNA from 1 species
UUCGAAGUCUGCAGCUGCCCUUGCUGGGGGCCUCAAUGAUGCCGGCGCUCCGGUUUUCUUCAUCUUUAGGAUACCCAGUGUGGUUGCUCUGGGUCCUGUCCCUUUCUGGUCCUGCCUCGCUGCGCUAGGGCCUGGGGUGACCUCUGCCUGCUUUGGGGGGUCAACCCUCUUCCUGGUGUCUGCUCUGUAUCUCAUCAGGCCAGAAAGCCAACGUUGGUGAAUGGGAUGAUUUAUUAAUUCACUUAGUGACUUUACUGUUAGGGUUUCAGCGCGUAACUUUUAAGCAGAAUAAAUGUAUGUCCGUGCAAAAGGACACCAGCAAAUUGGUAACUGGAGACUCUGGAGAAAAAGUUAGGAAGUUCUGGGUGUUUUUCAGAAAGGACUUCAGCAUGGUGCGUGCCCUUCUGAGUACAUUUGUAGAAGUAGGCUGUGGGGGACCAAAACCACCCUGCGGACUCAGAAGGGAGCAGGGGAGUGAGUUGGUGACGAAGUCACACAUUUUCAAGGAUGCAGCCUAAGUUUCCCAUCAGCGAGUCUGUAGUGACCAGUGAGGGGUAGACUGGGGACAGUGAAGAGAAAGUUGGAGCUCAUGUAGCAAAGGUGGGCGUCUUCCCUCCUGGAAAUGACCAGAACCCCCUCCAGGACAUGUGACGUGGACGCCCAUCCCCUCCGGCUCCCCUCAAACUGGCUCACGGGGACAGCAGUCGUCCCUGAGCAUCGUGUCCUGCCGGGCCAGCUGGCGGGCAGAGGAGCUGGUGCCAUGGGGCUGUGAAAUUAGCAGGUGCUGGGGGGACGUGGGCCUGUGUGCUGUACACCGUGGGCAUGAGAGGCCCCAGGCAGUGGCCUGAAGAGACAGCUAAGCCUGCCAGGAGGCAUUGAGCAACCACGGCGGCGAUGCCCAGGCCCAGAGCUUUCCCCGUCCUAGGUGAGCCCGGGUGAGUGGGGCGGUGCUCCCACAAAACAUCCCAGGUCACACUGUCAGGUCCCGGCUGGUCACCCACAGCCAGGACCUCUGCACAGGGCGGGGUCAGUCCCGUGCUCGGUGUAGGGGGAGGAAAUGGGGAGCCCGGGAGAAACCUGAGAGCCCUGUGGAUCCCUGUGCUGCUAACGUCUUCACGAGCCAAUGAUCCUUUCCGGGAGGAAGAAGCGGGAGGCAGGAAGCUCUCUGCCAUGGGCUCCAGGUUCUGUUGAGAGAGUCAUCUACUUUCCUCUGUCACUGCCACUAGAAAGGUGUGAUGUCCCCAGAGGAAUGUGGGCACCUUGUGCUGCAAACGUGGACUCAACGAAACUAAAUUUAAAAAUAAACAAAACAGGGCUGGGGAUUUAGCUCAGUGGUUUUGCCGCCUGCUGUGCAAGCACAAGGACCUGAGUUCGAUCCCCGAUACCAAAAAAAAAAUCUUUUAAUUUUCUUUGUGUCCUUUGGGUGCAGUGGGAGCAGAAGGUGACAGCAGAACCUGGCGGGCUCUGGUGCUGUCGCCGCGCAGUGAGUGACCCGGUGCCUCUGCCAGAAACCCAGGUGGGUUAAUCAUUGUCAGCAGCGCAUGCUUGGCUGAGCUAUCACUAUCUCUGGUGCGGCGAGAAAGUUCAGCGUGAGGACCUUGACCUGUGCAUCUGUGGACCAGGUGGCAGGGGCCUGGCUGUCAGGCAGGGGGACACCGUGUCCACAGGAAAGGCCCCAGGGCUCGGCGCACGCCCUCAGCAAAGCGUCCCUGGCUCUGCCAGGAGCAAAUGGAGCUGCAGGCCUCCAUGGAAACCGGUGCCUCCCUGUGCCGCCUCCCUCUCCUCUGCUCCCCGGGAAGCAUUGUUCAGCCAGGAAGCCCCGCUUCCACCAGCACCGGUUCCCUCCUGGCAGUGGUGGACUCUUUCCCCUUCCGGUGCCAGGGCUCUCUAGCUGUCAGGCCUCACGUGCUGUUGAAGGCAGCCCCUUCCUGCCGGGGGCUAAGCUCGGCAUACAGCGCACUGUGGAGGUGGGGCGAGGAAGGUAGCUUAGGAAAAUGGAGUCGGCCAGGCGAGGUACCAGCCCUGGGAAGCUGAGGCAGGAGGAUCUCUGGGAAUUGGAGGCCAGGCUGGGCUACAUAGAGUUCAAGGUCAGCCUGGGAUACCAAGUGAGAGCCUGUCUCAACAAAACAAAACAACAAAAAUGGGAGUCAGAAUCCCUUUCAUGACUUCUUUCCAGGCAGCCUUGUUAUUAGUGCAUAAACAAGGUGCUAGGAUUUUUCUUUUCUUUUCUUUGGUAUUGGGGAUUGGGCCCAGGGUCUUUGCACUGAGCUGCAUCUUUAGCAGCACUGCCCUUUUCUUGUUGGAGAGCUGCUGAUUUGCCUGGGCUGGGCUCCAACUUGUGACCCUCCUGGCCCAGUCUCCCAGAUGGUGGGAUUACGGGUCCUACUGAUUUGCAUCUGCAGAUUUCUGUAUCCUGAAACUGUGCUGACUUCUGCAUCCAUCUGGAUCAUCUUCUGACGGGGUCUUUAGGCCAAUCAAGCCCUCUGUGGCCCCGGGGUGCCCCUUGCUUCUCCCUGGAGACCCUGAUCUUUCCUACUAGAUCAGCAGGAUUUAAAACCUACAGUCAGCAGGAGGAUGAAAGGGCUCACGCCCCGAGCCAAGUCACAGAGCGUUCCGGGUGGGUUUUAGCUUUGCCAACUGUCAAAGCCAACCAGGACCCUCACCUCCCCUUAGCCUUCCCACCCACUGAGCCCGGGCUGGUCCUUAAAGAACUCACAGGGGCUGCACUGAGCUCUGAUGAUCUAACUCAAGUAAAUGAUUCAUUAUUUACAGAAGGAAAAAAUAAAUGAGGUCCUAUUUUUAAAUUAAAAUAUUUUCAUCAGGGUGCAGUGGGAUAUGCCUGUUAUCCUAGCUACUUGGGAGGCUGAGUCAGGAGGAUCCCUUGAGCCCAGGAGUUCAAGGUCAGUUUGGGCAACGUAGUGAGCUCCUGUCUCUUAAGGAAAAAAGAAAUUUCCCCAAAGAAAUACAUUUACAUGGUUUAAAAAGUAAAAUGCAAAGAGUUCAAAAGAGUCCUCAAUGGAGGCAGCUUCUUCCUACCCCGGGAUGGCUCAAUGGCAGGCUGACAGCUGGGACCAGAGGCCCACGGAGCUGGCUGAAGUCACUCCCCGAGCGGAGCCCCACCACCCUGUGCUUCUGCCCCCAGCUCCCUGGCCCUGUCCUCGGGGCCCCUUCAGCCCCUGCUUCUGUGAUAACUGGGUCAUUGUCCCAAGCCAGCACCACACUGCGGAGACCAGCAGGUCAUUGUCCUGCUCCUUCCC